UUGAUGAAUCAUAUAUUUCAUAAGUACUUGAGGAAGUUUGUGCUUGUCUUUUUUGAUGAUAUUUGGGUAUACAGCUCCUCUAUAGAAGAGCAUCUGCAGCAUUUAGAGAUAGUGUUCCAGAUCUUGAAAGAACAGAAAUUGUAUGCUAAACUCAGUAAAUGUUCUUUUGGUAAAACUGAGAUUGAUUAUUUAGGCCACAUAAUUUUGGGUGAGGGAGUUAAAACUGAUCCUUUGAAGAUUCAAGCAAUGAUAACAUGGCCAGUCCCUCAGUCUCUUAAGGAAUUGAGGAGUUUCUUGGGUCUUACUGGAUACUACAGAAAGUUUGUG
rnacentral:misc_RNA from 1 species